rnacentral:tRNA from 1 species
GCUGUGAUGGCCGAGUGGUUAAGGUGUUGGAUUUGAAAUCCAAUGGGGUUUCCCUGCGCAGGUUGGAACCCUGCUCUCAGCG